rnacentral:tRNA from 1 species
GCGGGUAUAGCUCAGUUGGUAGAGUGCAUGCUUAGCAUUCACGAAGUCCUGGGUUCAAUUCCCAGCACCUCCA